rnacentral:rRNA from 1 species
CCUACGGGUGGCAGCAGUCGAGAAUCAUUCACAAUGGGGGGAACCCUGAUGGUGCGACGCCGCGUGGGGGAAUGAAGGUCUUCGGAUUGUAAACCCCUGUCAUGUGGGAGAAAAUUAAAAAGAUAGGACCACAAGAGGAAGAGACGGCUAACUCUGUGCCAGCAGCCGCGGCAAUACGGAGGUCGCAAGCGUUGUUCGGAAUCACGUGUGGUAAAGCGUGCGGAGACGGUUUCGUAGGUGGUGUGUGAAAGGCCCGGGCUCAACCCGCGGCCGGCUCAUGAAACUGCGAGACUAGAGUAGAGGAGGGGGAACCGGAAUUCCCGGUGUAGCAGUGAAAUGCGUAGAUAUCAGGAGGAACACUCGUGGCGAAGGCGGGUUCCUGGACAUUAACUGACGCUGAGGCACGAAGGCCAGGGGAGCAAAAGGGAUUAGAUACCCGAGUAGUC